rnacentral:lncRNA from 1 species
AUGAAUGGCAGCCAUCUAGAGGAGUCAUCCGGACUAUACACUUAUCACUCAGUAAGGGGGGGAAGUGUUCUAGAUUAUUUUAUAAUCUCACCUGGGUUGUUGCCAGCAGUCAAAACUUUUAUAGUGGACAUACGUCCGGAAAGUGACCAUCACCCCAUUAAACUAGUCACAAAAACAGACGUAGAGCAGCACAGAGUGUCAAAUAAUUAUCAUCUGGACCUGGUCUCCAUGGGACCCAGACGACUCAAGUGGUCGGAGCCCUUGAGCGAUAAGGUUAUAGACCUACUUAAUGGACCUAUUCUGGAAACUUGCAGAGAGAAGAUACUCAAAUGUACUAUUGACCCAAUAGAGGGUUAUCAGCAAAUUAUUACCUCCCUUAAACCAUACCUGAUUCACACAGAACCAACCAAAGUCAACAAGUCCAGUAAGGGAAGUUGGUUCGAUGCAGAAUGCAGGAGCCAAAAAAAGAUCCUAUCCCUGGCCAUCAGAGCAGCCAACAAAAAUGGGACUGAACAAAACUAUAAAAGCCUGAGUGAAACCCGUUCACAAUAUAAAACCCUACUAAAAAGGAAGAAACUUGAAUUCAACAGGCAAAAUUGGAUAAAGCUGGAUCUGGCAGUUAGGCAAAAGGAUGAGGUCAAAUUCUGGAAUAUGGUGCAUUCAGGGCUAAGGCCCUUGCAACCUCAUUUAGACUCUCAAAUUGCAGCACCUACAUGGGAAACUUAUUUUAGAGAAAUAUUCAGUGACCCAGAGACUGCCAAGGAUGUGUCUAGACCCAUUGACCCCCCUGAUUGGACACCAGUUUCUCCAGAGGAAAUCGAAGGCCUGCUUCAAAAAUUUAAAACAGGAAAAGCCCUAGGAGAGGAUAUGCUACCUCCCGAAUUGUUUAGAUGUAACAUCACCUGGUGGGCUCCCAUCCUGGCCAGACUGUUUACAUAUAUCAACCAGACAGGAAUCAUCCCAAAUGGGUGGAAAACUAGUAUAAUUGUCCCUUUAUAUAAAAAAGGCAAUAGGAUGGACCCACGCAAUUAUAGACCUAUUAGCCUGUUGGAUGUAGUGUCAAAAAUCUAUGGUAGGUUUCUGUUAAAUAAAUUACAUAGCUGGGCAGAGGAGAAUAAUAUUAUUGCAGAAGAACAGGCCGGAUUUUGGCAAGGCAGAAGCACAAUAGACCAAUGUUUUGUGCUUUCACACCUAAUCCAAAAUAGUCUGAAGAAACCAAAGGGUUUCUAUACACGGCAUUUGUGGAUUUUACCUCAGCUUUUGACUUAA